UGUGCUCUCGAAAGUAUCCAACAAAGA
rnacentral:piRNA from 1 species